GAUGAACGCUAGCUACAGGCUUAACACAUGCAAGUCGAGGGGAAACGACAUCGAAAGCUUGCUUUUGAUGGGCGUCGACCGGCGCACGGGUGAGUAACGCGUAUCCAACCUGCCCACCACUUGGAGAUAACCUUGCGAAAGUAAGACUAAUACCCAAUGACGUCUCUAGAAGACAUCUGAAAGAGAUUAAAGAUUUAUCGGUGAUGGAUAGGGAUGCGUCUGAUUAGCUUGUUGGCGGGGUAACGGCCCACCAAGGCGACGAUCAGUAGGGGUUCUGAGAGGAAGGUCCCCCACAUUGGAACUGAGACACGGUCCAAACUCCUACGGGAGGCAGCAGUGAGGAAUAUUGGUCAAUGGGCGAGAGCCUGAACCAGCCAAGUAGCGUGCAGGAUGACGGCCCUAUGGGUUGUAAACUGCUUUUAUAAGGGAAUAAAGUGAGUCUCGUGAGACUUUUUGCAUGUACCUUAUGAAUAAGGACCGGCUAAUUCCGUGCCAGCCGCCGCAGUAA
rnacentral:rRNA from 1 species